AUGUGUGGGCAGCGCUACGCUCCAUGCAUGUGGGCGUCGAGCGCGUCCGAGAGGCGAGGGUUCAAUCCUUGCGCUCGGAGUUUGAUGGCCUCAAGAUGGGUGAUGCGGAGUGCGUGGAUGACUUCGCAGCGAGGUUCACGACGCUUGUGGGGCUCAUCCGUGAGCUCGGUGAUCAGAUGGAGGAGAAGUACGUCGUGA
rnacentral:rRNA from 1 species